rnacentral:rRNA from 1 species
UAAGAAUUUAAAAGUCGAACAGACUUAUUCUUAAGAAGGCUGCUUCUUAAAAUUUUCUUAAUUCAACAUCGAGGUCGCAAAAUACAAUAUAGAUACGAACUCCCCAUUGAAAUUACGCUGUUAUCCCUGAGGUAACUAAAUCUUAAUUCCACUAAUGGGAUCUAAAAUAACAUAAAAAAAUGAUUUUUAAAACUAAAGUUAAUUAUUUAGCCACCACCCCAGCAAAAUAUAAAGUAUAUAUUAUUAAAAAUAUUAAAAUAAAACUUAAUAACAUAAAAUUAUAUAAAGUUCUACAGGGUCUUAUCGUCCCAAUAAGUUACUAAAGCAUUUUAACUUUAAAUUUAAAUUUUAACAUUUAAAAAAAUAAAAUAUAAUUCUCAUACAUCCAUUCAUACAAGCUUCCAAUUAAAAAACUAAUUACUAUGCUACCUUUGCACAGUCAAAAUACUGCAGCCAUUUAGAAAUUUAAACCAUAGGGCAGAAGAUACUUUUUAUAAAAACA